GGAUCAGUAGGUUGGUCGUGCCACUGGUAUGUACUGGCCUCACUGGUUCCUCCUUCUUGUAGAACCGUAAUGCCAUUAAUUUGGUGUUGCGGGGAAACAGGACUGUUACUUUGAAAAAAUUAGAGUGUUUAAAGCAGGCAUUCGCUUGAAUACAUUAGCAUGGAAUAAUAAAAUAGGACU
rnacentral:rRNA from 1 species